rnacentral:rRNA from 1 species
CCUACGGGUGGCAGCAGUAGGGAAUAUUGCUCAAUGGGGGAAACCCUGAAGCAGCAACGCCGCGUGGAGGAUGAAGGUCUUCGGAGUGUAAACCCCUUUUGUUAGAGAAGAAAAUGACGGUAUCUAACGAAUAAGCACCGGCUAACUCCGUGCCAGCAGCCGCGGUAAUACGGAGGGUGCAAGCGUUACGCGGAAUUACUGGGGGUAAAGAGCGCGUAGGCGGGAUAGCAAGUCAGAUGUGAAAUCCUAGGGCUUAACCAUAGAACUGCAUUUGAAACUGUUAGUCUAGAGUGUGGGAGAGGUAGGUGGAAUUCUUGGUGUAGGGGUGAAAUCCGUAGAGAUCAAGAGGAAUACUCAUUGCGAAGGCGACCUGCUAGACCAUAACUGACGCUGAUGCGCGAAAGCGUGGGGAGCAAACAGGAUUAGAUACCCGUGUAGUC